AUUGAACGCUGGCGGCAUGCUUUACACAUGCGAGUCGAACGGUAACAGGCCUUCGGGUGCUGACGAGUGGCGAACGGGUGAGUAAUGCAUCGGAACGUACCCAGAGGUGGGGGAUAACGCAGCGAAAGCUGUGCUAAUACCGCAUGUGAUCUGAGGAUGAAAGCGGGGGACCGAGCAGCAAUGUUUGGCCUCGCGCCUUUGGAGCGGCCGAUGUCGGAUUAGCUAGUUGGUGGGGUAAAGGCCUACCAAGGCGACGAUCCGUAGCUGGUCUGAGAGGACGACCAGCCACACUGGGACUGAGACACGGCCCAGACCCCUACGGGAGGCAGCAGUGGGGAAUUUUGGACAAUGGGCGCAAGCCUGAUCCAGCAAUGCCGCGUGCGGGAAGAAGGCCUUCGGGUUGUAAACCGCUUUUGGCAGGAACGAAACGGUGUCCGCUAAUACCGGGCGCUAAUGACGGUACCUGCAGAAUAAGCACCGGCUAACUACGUG
rnacentral:rRNA from 1 species